rnacentral:miRNA from 15 species
UGGGCGGCGUUUGCCUCUGGGA